GACUUUGAAACGUAUUGACAACUAGCACCUAUAUGAUGCACCCAAGGUCAAAUAUGAGAGACUAUGAUCUUAAGGAUUUAGUGAGCUUGAAAAACCGUUUUUUCCCAUAGGAAAUGGACUUGAUCAUAUUAUUUAUAAGACCUAUAACUUAAUUUUAUGUACGAGUACAAUUUCAUGUACGAGUCUGGGUUGUCAUAAUAUAUAAUUAAUACAACAGUAUUUUGAACACUACUCGUUUAUUUAGGUGUAUUUACGUGAAUAUAACAAUUACAGGUUAACAACAACAAUAGCGAGCAUAUACUUAGUAUCCAAUCUGAAAGUAGUUCGCGCAUGUGUGUGCAGCGUUGCCAGGCCCAAAAAAUUUAUUUCCCUAAAUUGUGUUUUAAAAGUUGCCAGAUUUUCAACAGAAUUCCCCAGAUUUAUAAGGUUUUUUCCAACUCGAUACAAAACCGUUCUUAAAUCGUUACGCGCAUGCACAAUAACGAAAAUUUAUGCGCAGUUACACAUUUUUCGUUACUGCGCAUACUCGUAACUGUUAAAGAACGGUUUUGUUUGGGGAACCCCAGGGAAUAUCAUUGUUCGCGGUAGUCACAAUUCACCAAACUUUUGGCCUAUAUGUGGAAUCAGUCACCACGAUCUUGUCGUUGUAAAACAUUUAAUAUUCACAUAAUUACUGGACUUUCUAAAAUAACUAUCUUUUACUAAAUUUAAUAACAUAUUUUAGCCAGUUUGAUUUCCCCAGAUAUUAGUGAUUUUAAAAAAGUUUUUCCCCAGUCCCCAAAGUUUAUCAAUUUUCCCCAGUUCUGGGGAAAAUUCUCCAGACCUGGCAUCCCUGUGUGUGUGUGUCUAAUCUCCGGCGCGCGCAUUUCGCGGUUCGUCUCGUGAUUGAAUAGUCCGAGAGCUCGAUACAUCACACUUAAAAAUUCGAAUUUUUCCAGAUACGAGGUAUAUACUUCUACAAACGCUCAGUUAUUGUCCCAAUAGGUGGAAAUUUUGAGUAAUUGUCGAAAACCCAAAGUUUUCAAUGUUCAAUUUUUCACUUUUUCGACUAUAUAUCUCAAUCGAGAACGUUGCAAAAAACUCCUUAUAUUUUUAUAUUCACCCCUGCCCCACCCCUUUGUCGGCCACGCAGCGUUCCACCCUUGGAGAUUUUACUUAGUUACGACUUAUUCCCAAAUUUUGGUGCACUAUCUCGAUCAUGAGCGUCACAAAAAAAAUAAUAAAAACCGCGACUUUGACCGCUUAUAACUCCCCCACUCUGGUUUCCGGCCGUUGGGGAAAGUCAUGUACACAACUAAUUCAACAUAUUCCCAUAUAGUUUUUCCAUGUUACUUAUCACGCAGAAAAUCCGCUCUCAGCUCUUAGACUAUAUAGCUGGCUUCUAAAAAAUAUUUCGGACCAAAAAAGUGAUCUCUUGAAUUUGUUUAAACAAUUUCUGCCCAAAAAUCUCGCCCUUCUGAUCUGUUUAAAGGGGACAUUUUUGAACAGGAAUCCGCAAAGAAUCAGAAAUUGUUUCAUAUGGGAGCGGCCUCACAUAAUAGACUAUAGAGCUAUUUUUAAUCUUAAUCUUGAACUACUACAACAGUGCACACAAAAAUGAUAAAUCUGUCACAGGUCAUAAAAAACAGCGCACAGUAUAGUACUAUAACUAUACUAUCGUUAAACCAGUUCAAACUCGUUCCACAAAAAAUAAUUUUAAAUCUGGCUUUAAACUUUAACCAAA
rnacentral:lncRNA from 1 species